ACGCUGGCGGCGUGCUUAACACAUGCAAGUCGAACGAGAAAUGUUAUUAUGAUCUCUUCGGAGUGAUGAUUUUAUUUCGAGUGGCGGACGGGUGAGUAACGCGUGAGCAACCUGCCCUAUACCGGGGGAUACCAGUUGGAAACGACUGUUAAUACCGCAUAAGCGCACGAUAAGACAUCUUGUUGUGUGAAAAACUCCGGUGGUAUAGGAUGGGCUCGCGUAUGAUUAGCCAGUUGGCGGGGUAAAGGCCCACCAAAGCGACGAUCAUUAGCCGACCUGAGAGGGCGACCGGCCACAUUGGGACUGAGACACGGCCCAAACUCCUACGGGAGGCAGCAGUGGGGAAUAUUGCACAAUGGGCGAAAGCCUGAUGCAGCGACGCCGCGUGAGUGAGGAAGUAUUUCGGUAUGUAAAGCUCUAUCAGCAGGGAAGAAAGAAAUGACGGUACCUGAGUAAGAAGCUCCGGCUAAAUACGUGCCAGCAGCCGCGGUAAUACGUAUGGAGCAAGCGUUAUCCGGAUUUACUGGGUGUAAAGGGAGCGUAGGCGGCAGAGCAAGUCUGAUGUGAAAGCCCGGGGCUCAACCCCGGUAGUGCAUUGGAAACUGUUCAGCUCGAGUGUCGGAGGGGUAAGCGGAAUUCCUGGUGUAGCGGUGAAAUGCGUAGAUAUCAGGAAGAACACCGGAGGCGAAGGCGGCUUACUGGACGAUUACUGACGCUGAGGCUCGAAAGCGUGGGGAGCGAACAGGAUUAGAUACCCUGGUAGUCCACGCUGUAAACGAUGAAUACUAGGUGUCGGUACCCGAAGGGUAUCGGUGCCGUCGCAAACGCAUUAAGUAUUCCACCUGGGGAGUACGUUCGCAAGAAUGAAACUCAAAGGAAUUGACGGGGACCCGCACAAGCUUAAUUCGAUGCA
rnacentral:rRNA from 1 species